CCUACGGGUGGCAGCAGUGGGGAAUAUUGCACAAUGGGGGAAACCCUGAUGCAGCGACGCCGCGUGAGUGAAGAAGUAUUUCGGUAUGUAAAGCUCUAUCAGCAGGGAAGAAAUACUGACCUUACGGUCAGCAGACGGUACCUGACUAAGAAGCCCCGGCUAACUACCUGCAAGCAGCCGCGGUAAUACGUAGGGGGCAAGCGUUUUCCGGAUUUACUGGGUGUAAAGGGGGCGUAAACGGGAUCGCAAGUCUGAAGGGAAAUACCAUGGCUUAACCAUGGAACUGCUUUGGAAACUGGGAAGCUGGAGUGCAGGAGAGGUACGCGGAAGUCGCGGUGUAGCGGUGAAAUGCGUAGAUAUCAGGCGGAACACCAGUGGCGAAGGCGGCUUACUGG
rnacentral:rRNA from 1 species